AAAAAAAAAAGUCUGAUUUCAGCAUUAUUCAUUGGGAAUGCUAUUUGUGAAAGUAUUUACUUCGGUUUCUGAGAUGCUGGCUGUAAUUUUAAUAGGCAAUGCAUAAUCCUGCUUUUUUAGAAGAAAUGUUUCUAUGUACUCAACAGUGAAGGAAGCAGUAAUUACUGAAAACUGUGGGUAGAAUGACCAGUUUAGAAAGCCAGAAGCAAUUUGCUGCCAGAGUGUGCUUCCUUUUAAAAGUGAUCUAAAGCUGACCAGGGCAAGGCCCAUCACAGCCUCCUUAGAGAAGAUCAGGCAGAAAUUAGAUUUUCUUACAUCAACAUGGACUGACGAGGGUUCCAUAACCGAAGAGCAAAGGAGCAAGGAUAACCCACCGACUGAUAAAACUAAUGAGUGAACAAUGUCCUUUGGCAACUUCUGUUCACCUAAGAGUUUAAUAAUUCCA
rnacentral:lncRNA from 1 species